CAGCCGCCGCGGUAAUACGGAGGAUGCGAGCGUUAUCCGGAUUUAUUGGGUUUAAAGGGAGCGCAGACGGGUUUUUAAGUCAGCUGUGAAAGUUUGGGGCUCAACCUUAAAAUUGCAGUUGAUACUGGAGACCUUGAGUGCAGUUGAGGCAGGCGGAAUUCGUGGUGUAGCGGUGAAAUGCUUAGAUAUCACGAAGAACUCCGAUUGCGAAGGCAGCUUGCUAAAGUGUAACUGACGUUCAUGCUCGAAAGUGUGGGUAUCAAACAGGAUUAGAUACCCUGGUAGUCCACACGGUAAACGAUGGAUACUCGCUGUUGGCGAUAUACGGUCAGCGGCUUAGCGAAAGCGUUAAGUAUCCCACCUGGGGAGUACACCGGCAACGGUGAAACUUAAAGGAAUUGGCGGG
rnacentral:rRNA from 1 species